rnacentral:lncRNA from 1 species
AAUACUUCACAUGAGUUUAAAUGCUCCAGCACACAUGAUUUUAAGUCCCAAAAAAAAUGACCCAAAUUAAACCUCCAACAUAUACACGGUUAAGGCUAAAAAGCCUUGUUGAAUCUUUAAUGCUCAUAUGUGUAUAUUUGUAUAAAUGUGAUAUAAAUGUAGCGGAUUGAAAGAAUAUAGAAUCUCCUUGCCUUAGGAAAUUUUAUUUUAUGAAUUAAUUUAUUUAACACUUAAUAUUAAAAUUAUCAAGGUUAAUAAAAAUCAAUUCAAUAAAGUUUAGAAAAUAGUUUAGAUAAAAAUAAAUAAAAUAAUUAAAUAAAUGAAAUAUAAAACCUAUUUAAUUAAUAAUAAUUGUUAUCAUCAAAAUACAAUAAAACUUUGGAGAUCUAUCACAUUCCAAUCACCACCACUACCCAUCAUGCAUUCUUUAUAUUAUAAUUCCUCUUUCUCUCUCACUCUUCUUGCCGUCGACUGCCAUUCAACACCGUUGGGCAGCCAAUUCAUUUUGGAACAAAUUUCUGGCAAAAAAAGUUAAAUAAAAAAAAAAUCCCAAAUCACAUACCCACCUCGUUUUUGAACAAAUACAUGAAGCAAAAUUUCCAGACCCAAAAAGACAUGACAUCGUUGUGGCUAAAAAGGUAGAUCGGAGACCAUGUGCUUUAUCGUCGUUCAAAGAAAAAGGAGGAUUGGAUAUUACUUGUAUACACAUCUCUUGGUUAGCUUUUCUGAGAAAAUUUUCAAUCUUUCAGAACCCCAACUGAAAAGUUAGGGCUUUUUUCAAUUUUGAAAAUGAUAUUGACAACACUACCAAAGAUGAUAUCAGGUCCUUUCCGAACGAGAUCACUCGUAAGAAAUUGGGGGUGUUAUCGGCAGAAUUUAUGAUGGUUUAUG